GAGCACGAAGAUCAUGCCACCGAAGGCCCAUGCAAUCCCUUGAAUGCCGACGGUUGAGCACUUGGUGUUGGACUUGACGACGCCCAUCACUGUCAGUACGGAGAUGUACAAGAAAAGAAAAGUGGCUAUGAACUCGGCUAUACCGGCCCUGUAAAACGACCAAGACUUGAGCUCGCCGGGCUCGAAGAGCGGCGCCGGUGGGGGUUCAACGUAGUCCUUGCCAUCUUGGGUCUGAGCCGCCGUCCCAAUCGGCUGCCUCUCGGCGAACUUGUUGGCUCCCAGUCUAACAUCCUCUUCUUUGCCUUCCAUUUCUGCUACUCCCUCAAAAACACAAAAUAGUCAAUAAGAAGCACUUGCUUUUUUGUUUGUGGCCGUUUGAUGUUGUGAUGAGAAUGAGUGACAGAGUACUAGAAGUUGGGGAAAGGGGUUAUAUCAUCCGGAUCAGGGAGUGAUGAGUGCAGGUGGUGGGCUCCAAUUUGGUGUAUAAAAUUGAAUUUACUUACUUAUCUUGUGACCGACCAAUCAUUUUCUUGGAAUUUUGUGGAAAUAACUUAAAUGCGCUUAGACUAUUUAGAAAGAAAAAUGACAUUACGUUGGGGUAUCCUAGCUGGCUCAAUUUCAUCCACAUCUGUAAUGAUGUUGUGGCCACCGUCCAUCAAGGGUCAAGCAGACCGAGUGGGUGGGAAUUGGGACAUGAUGAUCACGGGAUUUAUCACGUAAUUUCAUAGCUCUUUUUAGGGCAAAUUACAGAACCCAAAGCAAGUAGGUUAUUUAAUUUUGAGUAAUGAUAUAAUCAUAAAUUUUUAUAUAAAUUUAUUUUAUAUAAAUUGAUGUGGUAUUAAUUUAUUAAUUGAAUAAAAAUAUAAAAUAAUAAAAAUAAAUCAUAUAGGUCAAGUAAUAUUUAAUUCAACCAAUCUUAUCAUACCACAUUAAUUUAUAUAAAAUAAAUUUAUACAAAAAAUUUUACCUAUAUCAUUACUCUUUAAUUUUAAUUUCGUUUUAUACUCUUAAAGUCUUUCUCAUUAUCAAUCAGCUUUAUUGUCAGUUUCUUAAUGUGAAUUAUGUCGGUUGCUCUGGCCUAUUGUCCUUUCCGUGUGUCCAUUUCGCUCUAAGGAAUUGGUUCACAGGCACGACUGUAACUUUCGAAUUGAUGCCUCCAUGAAUUAGUCCGUUCCUAUUUGAAUGGCUUUAUUUAUUUUAACCGUCGUAGUUUCAAAAUAUUUAUUUAGAAGUAAAAGGCUCGGUUUAGGGUAGGCAAAACCCCGGGUUGGGUUUGGGUAUCACAAUACUCAGACCUAGUCUGGAUGCAAUUUUUAGAUGUUCGGAUCGAGUUUUAAUCCGAAUACUUAAAUUUUAUAUUUUUUAAUAUUAUAUGUGUAUAUUUUUUAGUAAUUUUAUAAGUUUUAAAUUUAUUUCGAUAAAAUUUGACAUAAAAUUAUAAACUUUAAAUGUUUAAAACUUUAUAUAUGUGUAAUAAAUGAGUCAAAUAAAUUUAAAUAUUUAAAAUAAUAUAUAUUUUAUAAUUUUUUAAAAUAAAAUUCAGGUUCCGAGCCGAGCUCCGGAUUUAUCAAGUGAUACCCAAGAUUGAUCCGGCUUCAUACUCAUGCUGGGUAAUACCAUGCCCACAACGCUUGGGUGCGAUUCGGGUCUAGACCGGGCUGGUAUUUUUGCCACCCCUAGCUUGGUUGGAAUUGAAAUUAGACAAUUAUAGUUUCAAAGUAUAAUACUAAAAUAUUUUUUAUAUAUUAAUUAUUGUAACUUAGAAGUUAAGUUAAUUUGAGUUUACACUUAUAUGAUGAAAAAAUCUAUUAUAUUUUUAUUAAUUUUAUCAAAAUUAUUGUUUAAAAUUUGUGUUUACUAUGUACUAUUAAUUUUUAUUUCAUAUUUACUAUAUAAUAUUAAUUUAUGAUAUUUAGAGCCAAUCUAACUGCACAGUCACAAAAUUGAUUAGAAAGCUCUAGUAGACCCUUUAUUCUAAAUAUUAGGGGACUAUAACAUUAUUAAAAAAUUACAGCCCUAGUUGAUCGAAGUUAUGAUAUAACAUCGAGAAGUCAUCAAUAAAGUUCUGUUUGGGAUUAAGGUGCUGUAAUUUUUAAGUUACAGCUGUUAUGGAAAAAACUGUAAUUAUGAAACAAAAAUUGAUAAUAUGUAGUAAAUAUAAAUUUUAAAUAAUAAUUUUGAUAAAAUUAUUAAAGAUAUAAUAGAUCUUCCAUCAUACAAUUGAAAAUUCAUAUCAACAUAACUUUCAAGUUACAGUAGUCAGUGUUUACCAAAUACUUUAGUGCUGUAGAUUUUAAGUUACAAUUACCCAAUUUCAAUCCCAAAUAGACCCUAAGACAUAUAGAUAAAUUUUUAACAAUCGAACUCAGAAAACUAUAAAAUGUACUUAAGUACAUUUUUUUUUUACAACUUGCAUAACUAGCUCUCCCCCGGAUAAUGUUUAGGAACAGAAUAAUGUGUUGCUUUGUAUUUAUAUUUUUAACGCAUGAACGUCUACAUUAGAAUUUAGAAACCUAUUUAUGUUAUAAAGAUAACAUCGUCGUAAUCGAUAAUUUUACUCUUCCUGAAAAUGCACUAGGUUAUAAAAAUAAAUUGAUACAACAAUUAACUUAAUUUUUGAGUAUUACUUACGAAAAGAAAAAGUUCAAGAGUUGGAAGCGACUUAAAAAUGAAUUUAGAUCAAUUACUACAGUGAAAAUAGUAUUCUUUUUUUUGGGUGGCGUUUAUGCACAUAAUUUGAAUUAUAAUUUUUCUAAUUAAUGUUAUUCCUACAUGGAUUAGAAUCCUCUCAUGAUAUGAGUUUUUCUAAUAUUUUAUACCACUUGUAGUUUGGUGCUAAUGUAUGAUUAUGAUUUAAUUAUUUUUACUUUUUUAUUUAUUAACCGUAAUAAAAUUUAUUUAUGAAAAUAUUAUAUUAAGGGAGGAUCAUAAUCCUUCCUGCAUGAGGCAGCUGUAGCGAAUGAUUAUCUCUUAAUAAGUGCAAAAUCAUAGAGAAAUUUUACGCUGGCAGGUAUCUAUAUAUCUAUAUAAAGUUGAGACUUGAGGAGGUGAUGUGGCAUCACCAUUUCUCUUCUUUGUAUAUUCUCUAUUAUCUAAUAAAUAGAGAAUUUUUCUUUUAAAUUUGGCUUUUUAUCUUCUCAUAAUUAAUUUGAUUGUUAUUAUACAAUAACAAUUAUAUAAAGAUUUUAAUGAGGCAUAUUCUUUGUAAUGAAUAUCAAAGAGGGAGUGUUAUGAAUUUAUUAAAAUUAAUGUAAAUGUUCAUAACAUAUAUCUCUUAGUCUCUCCACUAUCUCCCAUUAGCAACCUUUAGCUUCCCUAUAACUCCCAUUAUUUCACAAGAAAUUAUGAUCCAUAAUUUUUUAUUAAUUUCAUGGAGUGAUUAUGUAACUAUAAAAUGAGAGCUCAUCUUUUUGUUUUGUACACACACAAUUAGAAUGAAUAAAACCACUCUAUAAUAUAUUCUCUCAUUUUAUUAUUUAUCUUGCGUUGCUUCUUUAUUUGUAUUGCUAGCUAAUAACUUUUUUUUUAUUUUUUAUAAAGCUGCCUCAUCCUAAAAAAAAAAUCAAUUCAUAUUUUUUAUCAGUUUCACAAGUGUAAAGUAAGAAAAAAUGAUAAUACUAAAUUUUUUUUUCAAAGCCGCGUGAAACGCGAGGUUAUUUUCUAGUUUUUAUAUAUUACACAGGACGGUAGUUAAUGGCGAAUUCAUGGAAAUUAAUUAUGCCAAUCAUGUCAACUAACAUGUUUCUUAUAGCGUAUUAUUGUUGUAGUGAUUUGUCUGGAUAUUAUUGAAUAAUCUUCAUGAUAUUUGCAAUCAAUAGUUGGGUUUGUGCUUUAAUUAGCUUCGUCAUUUCUUUCUGGCAAAGAAAGGUUAAAUGCAUCUUAUUAAUUAUAUUUGUAAUCUAUUUGGAGGGUAUGUUUUAUGGACUUUAAUAUUUGAGCGAAUUUAAGCUCAAUAAUAUUCAAGCUGCAUGCCCCUAUAUAGAAAACGAUAUGAGUCACUUCACAUAAAUAUAUGAAACAACAUGAAAACUAUAGACAACAAAGAAAUGACUGUACCUUUUUUAUUGAAUAAAAAAAUGCUCCAUCAUAUGAGUUAAAAAAAAUUAAAAAUGCACUAAAAUGACAUUACUUUUUUAUUUCAGUAAAUUAUAAAAUUGAGAAAUUUAUAAAGUAGCCUAUCUAUGAAAUUGCCUCCAAACAGAGCAGGUUAUUAUUGACACUAUUUUUUAUGUUAAAUUUUACUCUCAUAAUUAUAAAACACUCAAAACCUCGACCUUUCAGAUAAUAAGAGUUGGCAUGAACCAAAUCAACUAAAGAGUUAUUAACAUACUUGAUACUAUAAAUCUACUAUAAAUCUAAUUUUCUACUCUCAUAAUUUCUAUUCUUUUCAUUCUUAUCCAUUUAAAGAAUGAAAUACUAUAGAUUAUUUUUUUAAUAGUAAAAAAAUUUAAUUAGUCAAUAGUAAAUUUUAUCCUAAAUUAUGUGGAUUUAUUCACUGAUUGGUAAGAUAAUUUAAUUAAUUCACUUAGAAUUUAUUAAAAAUCAUCAACCACUUAAUAAAUGAUACAUCACGUGUCAUAUAAUUUGGGAUAACAUUUUGGGAUGUCAUCAGAUAAAACUCUUGAAGUUUGGCUUCAUUAUUUGCAUAUAUAUUUUUUAUAUAAUAAACCAGUGAUUCUCUCGUAUAGUUGUACAAAUGUCUAUCCUUUAUUAAAAAAAAAAAGUUAAAAGCAAACAAUGUAUCAUUCUUUAGUUAUGCAAUGUUGUUUUUAACCAUACAGAGCAAAACAUCCGUGCAUGUUUAGCGAUGCACGAUUAAAAGUUGAUUAAUUUUUUUUCUUAUAUAAUAACUACUAAUUGUAUUUUAAAAAAAAUUAUUAAAAAAAUCAGCUUAGUACUGAAUCUAAAUUUACGUAUUAAAUCCCCCCAUAUUUAAAAUUUUCGUAUAAUCGACAAUGCUAAUUAAAUUAAAUCUAUUCCAUUUCCUUUGUAAGUCAUUUUCUUUUGGAUUGACCAUAAACUUCAAUAUUACAUCAUAGCAUCAUAACCAUUUUUUUUUAAUUUGAAAAUUUAUGUACAUAUAUACCAAUUCUCCAAACGACAUUCAUUUAUAACCAAAACGCAAAAAAAUACCAGCACGCAAACUUCAUACGAUAGCGAGCAUAUAUAUGGUGUUCCAUAAUACAUAAUGAUUAUGCUUCUAACAACGCCUCUUCAACUAAGGCAAAUUCUUUUUGGUUGGCUAGUAUUCAAAAAAUUUGAUAAGAUCCAUUAAUUAAUUAUAUAUUAUAUGUUUGUAAUAUACAGUUUUAUCCGCAUAUAUAUAUUUAGAGUGUGUGGAUCUACUAUUGUAGUAUUGUGUAUCAUUAUUGUACUGUUUAUUGUUUAAUGAAAUUACUUUGCUUUUUAAGAAAAAAUAAACUACGUAAAUUUAAAUAAAACCACUGCCUAUUACUUGUAUGAUUAUGUGUUCAGACUCCAGAUGCAUAAAAUAGGAAGCUUGGAAUUGCAGCCGCAGCUUUUCUUCUUUUUUUUUUAAAUUACAAAUGCUGGUACUACCGGUGCCAACUUUGGCCAGUAUCAGCGGCUUCUUUGUGCAUAGGCAUUACAGAAAAUUCAUACACAAGACCAAACAACCAGAAAAUUUAACGAACCGAAAAUGCAUGGACUUGGGAUAAUCGAAAAUAUAAAACAGAACCACCAACGACAGCCAUAAACAAAUGCAUCAGCAAUCACGACCGUUCAUAAGACCAUCAGCUUGAUUUGAAGGGAAUGGCUCUGAUCACAACCUGGUGGUACAAAGCUGCAAGUGCUGCUCCAAUGAAUGGUCCCACCCAGAAAAUCCACUGCAUCAAAACCAUAUAUAAGAUUGAUCAUGAUUAACUGAUUAAUUACCAUAAUUGAAUUUACGUCCACAAGAGUAAUCUUUAUGACCGAGAUCUUAUUUUAGGGUAAUCAAGAGAGUAAAUUAAACUUACAUGGUCAUCCCAACCGUGGUCCUUGUUGUAGAUGAUUGCAGCUCCAAGACUCCUUGCGGGGUUGAUGCCAGUUCCGGUAAUAGGGAUAGUAGCCAAGUGAACCAAGAACACAGCGAACCCAAUUGGCAAAGGAGCCAAAAUCUAACCAUAUUCAAUAAGGUAGUUAUUAUUAAAGGUAAUAAUUAUGAUUAUUAUUGGUAAUUAAUUAUACAUUAACCAGAAAAAGAAUUAACUUACAGGAACAUGAGAGUCUCUGGCGCUACGUUUGGCAUCAGUGGCAGAGAAAACUGUGUAGACAAGAACAAAAGUACCAAUAAUCUCAGCACCAAGACCAUCACCCUUGGUGUAGCCAUGAGCUACAGCAUUGGCACCGCCGCCGAGCCGCCCGUAUUGGCCGGCACCCAUGAAACCCUUUACAACGCCAGCACCACAGAUGGCUCCCAGACACUGCAUGACCAUGUAGAAAAGUGCACGUGUCAACGACAGCUUCCUCGCCAAGAACAGCCCGAAUGUCACCGCCGGGUUGAUAUGACCACCUGCGUCACAACAAACAGUUUAAAAAAUAAAAAAUUAUUUUGUCAAACCCUUUAGUUAUUUUGCUUAUAAGAUUAAUUAACCAGAAGCGCAGCUGGUACAAACCCGAGAUGCCAGCUGUGCAGUAAACGAGCGCGAAGAUCAUGCCACCGAAGGCCCAUGCAAUCCCUUGAAUGCCGACGGUUGAGCACUUGGUGUUGGACUUGACG
rnacentral:lncRNA from 1 species